AUGGGUCCCAAGGCUAACCGCUUAUCUCGCUCGGUGGCGGACUCUUCCCGAAACGUCUUGAGAAAAAGCUUCUCGGCGCCCCCUCCUCUCCCUCCCUCAGAUCGAGCUGGUUCACUCCUCACUCCGCCCCGAUGCGCGCCUCCGCCUCCUGGCCGCCGCGCGCCUCCACCCCCAGACGCCACGGCGCCUCCAACUCCCAGCCGCCGCGCGCCUCCACGCCCUGUCGCCGACGCGCCGGCCGACGCCCCCACCGCGUGCUGCCCUGCAAAAAGGGAAGCGAUCGGCGGUGCGGCAGCUCCUGCUGCUGCUAGGCAGCGGCACAUCACACCAGGGUGGAGCGAGAUUUUGUUUGUUGCAUUGCUGAACAUCUCGGGUACAGAGGCGUGGCGGUUGGAGGGCAAGCUGAUCGCUAUUAACGAUGUCAUAAGUGCUGUCAAGAACAUUAGUGGCCUUGACAUCCCCAAGCUGGUGAAGCACCUGCCAGAGAACUGUGGGAUCAAGGGAUUUGACGAAGGCAACGCUGUUAACUCGGCCUUGCUGCUCAUCGAGGAAUGUGUCGUCCUUAUCCUGCCAGCACCGGGAGGAGUUGUAAACAAGUAA
rnacentral:rRNA from 1 species